AAGCCAUGCAUGUCUCAGUGCAAGCCGUCUAGCACGGUGAAACCGCGAAAGGCUCAUUAAAUCAGUUAUGGUUCCUUAGAUCGUACCCACGUUACUUGGAUAACUGUGGCAAUUCUAGAGCUAAUACAUGCCGACAGAGUUCCGACCAACCGGGCAGAUUGGCGGCGACCUCGCGUCGUCGUUGCUGCGCGAUUCGGAAGGAACGCUUUUAUUAGAUCAAAACCGGCCAAACGGUCGCGUAGCGCGAGAACGGCCUCCGCGUCGUCUUGCCGCGCGACCGUAAGCGGCCCGCGCAAAGAUUUGGUGACUCUGAAUAACUUCGAGCUGAUCGCACGGUCUGUGUACCGGCGACGUAUCUUUCAAAUGUCUGCCUUAUCAACUGUCGACGGUAGGUUCGACGCCUACCGUGGUGGUAACGGGUAACGGGGAAUCAGGGUUCGAUUCCGGAGAGGGAGCCUGAGAAACGGCUACCACAUCCAAGGAAGGCAGCAGGCGCGCAAAUUACCCACUCCCAGCUCGGGGAGGUAGUGACGAAAAAUACCGAUACGGGACUCUUUUGAGGCCCCGUAAUCGGAAUGAGUACACUUUAAAACCUUGGUCGC
rnacentral:rRNA from 1 species